UCUAACUUCCAUGUUUUGAUUCUUGGCAAUAGUCAACUUUUUCGGAAACAAGUCUGCAGACCGAGUCCCUUUAGACUCGUAGUGUACCGACAGACACAUGUUUCUCAUUGAGGAAGCUCUGGUCAGAGCAGAGGUGGUGGCUGAUGCUGGUGGCCUUCCUGAAUUCGGUGUCGAUGGUCUAUUGCCUCUAUUCAGAUUUGAGUUUCCCCACGCACGUCAGCUGUAUGAACGCCAGGGUAAGCUCAAGCCCAGUUAAGUAUAUGCCUUAUUGUAUCUAAUAUUUAUUUUGCAAAAUGGUAUAGUUUUACCUUUCAAUCAGUUCCAUGAGACCCACCCAGGGGAAGAAACCAAGAUCAUAGGUCGAGAAUCGAUAUCAAUCCUUUUAAUUCGUAAUGGCCAAAUAAUACCAUGAAAUGUGACCAUCAUGGUCAACUGAAAAACGAUCCAGGCAACGGGAGUAUGUGUAAAUUGCGUCCACUAGUCGAAUGUUUCGGAGCUAUUUGAUCUUGAAGACGGUUGAGUUGUAACAGCAGCCCCGGUUUCACAAGUUACUACUUUUUUCUGGGCCAGCAAAAGAGUAAGAAAGAAGGGAAAACCUGACUGAGUAAAUUCAACAGACCUUGCUCUGUGGAAGAGACAAAAUGGGUUGUGUGGAUCUCACGAUCAACCACCAGAGUGAACUCGCAGCUUGGAUAAUAUCCCACCAGUUUGAGGCCGGGGCUUCGAACAGAGGCGAAGCUAUUGAGCCG
rnacentral:lncRNA from 1 species